CUGAACCAGCCAAGUAGCGUGAAGGAUGACUGCCCUAUGGGUUGUAAACUUCUUUUAUAUGGGAAUAAAGUUUUCCACGUGUGGAAUUUUGUAUGUACCAUAUGAAUAAGGAUCGGCUAACUCCGUGCCAGCAGCCGCGGUAAUACGGAGGAUCCGAGCGUUAUCCGGAUUUAUUGGGUUUAAAGGGAGCGUAGGUGGACAGUUAAGUCAGUUGUGAAAGUUUGCGG
rnacentral:rRNA from 2 species